rnacentral:misc_RNA from 1 species
CUGAGUCGUCGACAUGGNUUGUUGCUGGUCCUCGAAUCGGGGGGCAUGUGCACGCUCUGUUCACACAUCCACUCACACCUGUGCACCCUCUGUAGUUCUGCGGUCUGGGGGGACGAUGUGUUCCCCUCCUGUGGUUCUACGUCUUUACACACACACCGUAUUGAAGUCUUAUGGAAUGUGCGCCGCGUUUAACGCAAUAAAAUAC